AACCUUAUAGUCUAUACAGGACGUUGAAUUGCAAUUUCAAAGGAGUUACAACUAAGGUUU
rnacentral:tRNA from 1 species